rnacentral:rRNA from 1 species
UACGAAGGGUGCAAGCGUUACUCGGAAUUACUGGGCGUAAAGCGUGCGUAGGCGGUUUGUUAAGUCUGUUGUGAAAGCCCCCGGCUCAACUGGGGAGGGUCAUUCGAUACUGAUCGACUCGAAGGCAGGAGAGGGUAGUGGAAUUCCCGGUGUAGUGGUGAAAUGCGUAGAUAUCGGGAGGAACACCAGUGGCGAAGGCGACUACCUGGCCUGUUCUUGACGCUGAGGCACGAAAGCGUGGGGAGCAAACAGGG